rnacentral:rRNA from 1 species
UGGGGAAUUUUGGACAAUGGGCGAAAGCCUGAUCCAGCAAUGCCGCGUGUGUGAAGAAGGCCUUCGGGUUGUAAAGCACUUUUGUCCGGAAAGAAAUCCUUGGCUCUAAUACAGUCGGGGGAUGACGGUACCGGAAGAAUAAGCACCGGCUAACUACGUGCCAGCAGCCGCGGUAAUACGUAGGGUGCAAGCGUUAAUCGGAAUUACUGGGCGUAAAGCGUGCGCAGGCGGUUUGCUAAGACCGAUGUGAAAUCCCCGGGCUCAACCUGGGAACUGCAUUGGUGACUGGCAGGCUAGAGUAUGGCAGAGGGGGGUAGAAUUCCACGUGUAGCAGUGAAAUGCGUAGAGAUGUGGAGGAAUACCGAUGGCGAAGGCAGCCCCCUGGGCCAAAUACUGACGCUCAUGCACGAAAAGCGUGGGGGAGCAAACAGGAUUAGAUACCCUGGUAGUCCACGCCCUAAACGAUGUCAACUAGUUGUUGGGGAUUCAUUUCCUUAGUAACGUAGCUAACGCGUGAAGUUGACCGCCUGGGGAGUACGGUCGCAAGAUUAAAACUCAAAGGAAUUGACGGGGUCAUAGCUGUUUCCU